AGUGAACGCUGGCGGCAUGCCUAACACAUGCAAGUCGAACGACAGCACAGUAAGAUCUUUCUCUUACGGUUGGCGACUGGCGGACGGGUAAGGAAUACAUCGGAAUCUACUUUUUCUUGGAGGAUAACGUAGGGAAACUUACACUAAUACCUCAUACGACCUACGGCUUAAAUCAGUGGAUCUUCGCACCUUUCGCGAUUGAAUUAGCCGAUGUCGGAUUAGCUAGUUGGCGGGGUAAAGGCCCACCAAGGCGACGAUCCGUAGCUGGGCUGAGAGGAUGAUCAGCCACACUGGAACUGAGACACGGUCCAGACUCCUACGGGAGGCAGCAGUGGGGAAUAUUGGACAAUGGGCGAAAGCCUGAUGCAGCAACACCGCGUGAGUGAAGAAGGUCUUCGGGUUGUAAAGCUCUUUUGUUGGGAAAGAAAAGCAGCAGGUUAAUCCCUCGAUGUUCUGACGGUACCCAAAGAAUAAGCCACGGCUAACUUCGUG
rnacentral:rRNA from 1 species